rnacentral:tRNA from 1 species
GAUGGCAGAUUAAAAAAUUGCAAUAGAUUGUAAAUCUUUCCAUGGAUAAGUUCCUC